CGGGUGCACUGAUCCGGCCGGGCCUUUCCCUCUGUGGAACCCCAUGGCCUUCACUGGCUGUGCGGGGGAAACAGGACUUUUACUGUGAAAAAAUUAGAGUGCUCCAGGCAGGCCUAUGCUCGAAUACAUUAGCAUGGAAUAAUAGAAUAGGACGCGUGGUUCUAUUUUGUUGGUUUCUAGGACCGCCGUAAUGAUUAAUAGGGACAGUCGGGGGCAUCAGUAUUCAAUUGUCAGAGGUGAAAUUCUUGGAUCUAUUGAAGACUAACUACUGCGAAAGCAUUUGCCAAGGAUGUUUUCAUUAAUCAGGAACGAAAGUUAGGGGAUCGAAGACGAUCAGAUACCGUCGUAGUCUUAACCAUAAACUAUGCCGACUAGGGAUCGGACGAUGUUAUUUUUUGACUCGUCCGGCACCUUACGAGAAAUCAAAGUGCUUGGGCUCCAGGGGGAGUAUGGUCGCAAGGCUGAAACUUAAAGAAAUUGACGGAAGGGCACCACCAGGGGUGGAGCCUGCGGCUUAAUUUGACUCAACACGGGGAAACUCACCAGGUCCAGACACAAUAAGGAUUGACAGAUUGAGAGCUCUUUCUUGAUUUUGUGGGUGGUGGUGCAUGGCCGUUCUUAGUUGGUGGAGUGAUUUGUCUGCUUAAUUGCGAUAACGAACGAGACCUUAACCUGCUAACUAGCCCGUAUUGCUCAGGCAGUACGCCGGCUUCUUAGAGGGACUAUCGG
rnacentral:rRNA from 1 species